GAUGAAGAACGCAGCGAAAUGCGAUAAGUAAUGCGAAUUGCAGAAUUCCAGUGAGUCAUCGAAUCUUUGAACGCACAUUGUGCCCUUUGGUAUUCCGAAGGGCAUGCCUGUUCGAGCGUCAUUAUCACCCCUCAAGCCCUCGGCUUGGUGUUGGACGGUUUGGUGGAGGCCCCCUCGGGGGCUCCUGCCCCUCCCAAAGACAAUGACGGCGGCCUCGUUGGACCCCCGGUACACUGAGUUCUUCACGGGACACGUAUCGGACACAUGGGUUUACGGGACACGGUCUGCCUCCCCUCAGGGAGAAUCUUUCUAAGGUUGACCUCGGAUCAGGUAGGGAUACCCGCUGAACUUAAGCAUAUCAAUAAGCGGAGGA
rnacentral:misc_RNA from 1 species